rnacentral:tRNA from 1 species
GCGAAAGUGGCGGAAUUGGUAGACGCGCGAGGUUUAGGACCUCGUGCCCACUUGGGCGUGGGGGUUCGAGUCCCCCCUUUCGCA